GGGACACGUGGUAUCCUGUCUGAAUAUGGGGGGACCAUCCUCCAAGGCUAAAUACUCCUGACUGACCGAUAGUGAACCAGUACCGUGAGGGAAAGGCGAAAAGAACCCCGGCGAGGGGAGUGAAAAAGAACCUGAAACCGUGUACGUACAAGCAGUGGGAGCACCUUCGGGUGUGACUGCGUACCUUUUGUAUAAUGGGUCAGCGACUUAUAUUCUGUAGCAAGGUUAACCGUAUAGGGGAGCCGCAGGGAAACCGAGUCUUAACUGGGCGUUAAGUUGCAGGGUAUAGACCCGAAACCCGGUGAUCUAGCCAUGGGCAGGUUGAAGGUUGGGUAACACUAACUGGAGGACCGAACCGACUAAUGUUGAAAAAUUAGCGGAUGACUUGUGGCUGGGGGUGAAAGGCCAAUCAAACCGGGAGAUAGCUGGUUCUCCCCGAAAGCUAUUUAGGUAGCGCCUCGUGAAUUCAUCUUCGGGGGUAGAGCACUGUUUCGGCUAGGGGGUCAUCCCGACUUACCAACCCGAUGCAAACUACGAAUACCGAAGAAUGUUAUCACGGGAGACACACGGCGGGUGCUAACGUCCGUCGUGAAGAGGGAAACAACCCAGACCGCCAGCUAAGGUCCCAAAGUCAUGGUUAAGUGGGAAACGAUGUGGGAAGGCACAGACAGCCAGGAUGUUGGCUUAGAAGCAGCCAUCAUUUAAAGAAAGCGUAAUAGCUCACUGGUCGAGUCGGCCUGCGCGGAAGAUGUAACGGGGCUAAACCAUGCACCGAAGCUGCGGCAGCGACACUAUGUGUUGUUGGGUAGGGGAGC
rnacentral:rRNA from 1 species